CAGUAGCCACGGGAAUACAGAGGGUGCGAGCGUUAAUCGGAUUUACUGGGCGUAAAGCGUGCGUAGGCGGCUUCUUAAGUCGGAUGUGAAAUCCCUGAGCUUAACUUAGGAAUUGCAUUCGAUACUGGGAAGCUAGAGUAUGGGAGAGGAUGGUAGAAUUCCAGGUGUAGCGGUGAAAUGCGUAGAGAUCUGGAGGAAUACCGAUGGCGAAGGCAGCCAUCUGGCCUAAUACUGACGCUGAGGUACGAAAGCAUGGGGAGCAAACAGGAUUAGAUACCCCGGUAGUCCCUGUCUCUUUACA
rnacentral:rRNA from 1 species